rnacentral:lncRNA from 1 species
GGUUGUGCUUAUGGGAUUCGUUGAAGGGUACAGAGUGGGUGGAGGGCCACUUGGCGAAGGACUUGACCCCAUUUAUCCUGGCGGUGCCUUUGACCCACUUGGCCUCGCUGAUGAUCCUGAUGCAUUUGCAGAGUUGAAGGUGAAGGAACUCAAGAAUGGCCGCCUCGCAAUGUUCUCAAUGUUUGGAUUCUUCGUUCAGGCCAUUGUCACUGGAAAGGGUCCUGUUGAGAACCUUUUGGAUCACCUUGCCGAUCCAGUGGCCAACAAUGCUUGGGCAUACGCCACUAACUUCGUUCCUGGAAAAUGAAGAAACUCAGAUGGUUGCCUUGUAGCUUGUGACAUUACUAAUUAGUCCUUGUGCUUUUGUUGAAAACUUCUGGUUCUGGACUCCACCGGUACUUGUGAUUUCAGCAGUGGAUAUUUUACAUGUAUCGGAAAAGUACUGUAUCUCCUUUUCACUAUGAACAUGAGACUCUUUUGUGCUUGAAUCUACUUUUUUUAGUUGGAUUUGUCUCGUGGAUA